UACGUAGGACCCAAGCGUUAUCCGGAAUUACUGGGCGUAAAGAGUUGCGUAGGUGGCAGAGUAAGUUGGUAGUGAAAUCGUGUGGCUCAACCAUACACCCAUUACUAAAACUGCUCAGCUUGAGUAUGGGAGAGGUACCUGGAAUUUCUAGUGUAGGAGUGAAAUCCGUAGAUAUUAGAAGGAACACCGAUGGCGUAGGCAGGGUACUGGCCCAUUACUGACACUAAGGCACGAAAGCGUGGGGAGCGAACGGG
rnacentral:rRNA from 1 species